AGAGCAGCACGUGAGCCAACCAGAGAGAGCACAUGCGCAGUGCGCGAGGUCGUGCUUUUCAUACCUGACGUUCCGCAGUCCCUCUCUGAGGCAGAGAGCACGUCACGUAAGAGCCGCGGUAGCGUGACAUCAUUCGAGAGCGCCUCCAGCAGUCUCGGCGCACUGAGCGCAGACGGGCAAAGGUGUUGCUGUGGGAGACGGCGCGUCGAGCCCCGCCCCCAAGGCGGGAUUGGAGGAAACCUGAUCAGCUGACGCUAGUGAAGUUUCGGAAGCUCACUGGAGGCCCAGCUCGGGCCCUCUUCCUGCGAGUUCCCCUGGCAACCCGGACUCAUCCCGCUGCUCUUGUGGGUGAUUCCAGGAAUCCUCAGAGCCUGGGUCAGAGCCGAGCAAUCAACUUGAGGGGCUUCUUCAUUUAAGGAAUCAGGACAUGAUUCCUGGAGCAGCAACAGCCAUUUACAGCCACGAGGUGACCAACAACUCUCUAAAGCAGCUAGUAGCUUAGUGAACAAAGGUUACUCUAUCUGCCAACCCUUCCUCCCCGGAGUAGCCAUGGUAAUUGUGGGACACUGGAAAUUCCUGGAACAUCAAUGUGCCAAAGAAGACAAGCUGUGCUGUUAAAACUAACUGCUGGCCUACUAGUCUCAACUAAUAGAAAUGGAACAAGAUGUUACAAGCUCUCUGCUUCAAUUCUGGCGCAAGUCCUGAGGCAGAGAGCAAACCAGUAGAUUCCAACUACUCCCAUGUUCCAAGGUGAGGUGCUAGACCAGCUCACCCGGGCCUGCAAAGAGAUAUUAGAGAGCCUGCGACUGCCCACAGGUCAGAAGGUAGCCAGGCCAAGAGGGAGAGGUUGGAAGUUAGCAUCAACUUCUUUAAGGGGAGUUGGCGUUUCCCAGACGGAAGCCUGCAGGGGAAGUUGGGUCGAGGCCUUUCUUGAUGUACCCUCUGUCUCCUCACAUUUUCUGUCUGGAAUGUGGCACUUUCUCACCCCAUCUCACCCCACAGUGGGUGGGAGAAGGGGGCAUAGGGAGACGGACUUUGAAGAGACCCUUCAGAGAAUGACCACAUACCCAGGAGCUUGGCAGGCCAGACAACACGGGGAUGUCACAUACCUGAGAAAUCUUAACUACAAGAAGCCCUUAAGUCAACAAAACAAGAUUCCAAGUGGGAUCGAUGCUGUACUUGGAAAAAGAGAGAAAUAUUUCUGAGACAGAAAGUGGGAAGGAAACCAAGGAGGAAACUCACUUUGCAAGUCAUUGUUCUUGCUAAAUACAAAAAUUGAUUAUUUUAUCGAAGAGCUGUUGUCAGUAAGACAAAGAGAAAGAGGUACUGUUGACGGGUCCUUACUUCAUGGUCCUCUGCCCCAGUGUUCCAGCUGGUCAAGACCACCAUGCCCAGCAUGUUCAGGCGCUCCGCAUUGUUGUCGGAUUGUUUUCCUGGGCUCGCCCGUCCUCACAGCUCAGUGCAUUCCCUCAGAGUGAUCUCUUGGCACUUGAAAGCCCCGAUCUGCACAGCCACCUCAUUUCCCAGCUCCUCCCAUGAGCUGCCUCGCCAGCAGGCACCUCGCCACAGGCAGGUGACCCACAGGGCCCCCAUCAUGGGGCAGGAAAGGGAGCAGACAAGGGCAGCCACCGCUCUCCCGACCUCUCCAAAGAGCCCUCACUCUGCACAGCACCCUCAGUGUGAACAGCUCUUCCCCAAGACCAGCCCUUUCCCAGGGUGGCGUCACUGAGCACCCUCCAUGCCAAGCAGCGAUGGAAAUUCGGCACUCCACGUCUUCCCAAGCAGCUGGAGCUGCAGCUUGGAGCCUAAGCAGUGACAGCGCCUUCUCCACCACCCACAGCCAAGAGGAAAACAGGUACAGCUGGCUGUGCGUCUGCUCAGCAAAGCAGCCCUCCAUCUCUCCUCCGAACGAGAUGUUCUUGGCAUCUGGAGCUUCUCUACCAGGUCUCACAAAAACACAGGAGCUCGCCUCUGGAUAAACCCUCCAGGCAUUUCCAUAGCCCUGCAGUGGGCAGGGGCCCUGCCAGCAGCCACACCCAGAAUUACCCUGGCAGACUCUGGCUUAAGAUCCACUGCGGUCUCAGCUCUCCAAGGUUUAAUAAGGGAAAAAACAGGAAGAGAGCGAAGGGAAGAGCCUAGCAACCCCUGAGGAUGAGGGAGCGUCCCAGGAUGCCUGAAGCAGGGGAGGGAACUGUCAGGGGAGGGAACUGUUGGGUUUUUAUUUUUUUAUUGAGAUGAGAGUCACAUAACA